CAGCCAUACCACCCUGAACUCACCUGAUCUAGUCAGAUCUUGGAAGCUAAGUAGGGUCGGGCCUGGUUAGUACUUGGAUGGGGCGCUCCAGUUUUUCAGUCCACAGGGUCACUAAAUGGAUUCAAGCAGUUG
rnacentral:rRNA from 1 species